rnacentral:rRNA from 1 species
UACAGAGGUCCCAAGCGUUGUUCGGAUUCACUGGGCGUAAAGGGUGCGUAGGUGGCGAGGCAAGUCGGAUGUGAAAGCUCGGAGCUCAACUCCGAAAUGGCAUUGGAAACUACCUUGCUCGAGGGUUGGAGGGGGGACUGGAAUUCUCGGUGUAGCAGUGAAAUGCGUAGAUAUCGAGAGGAACACCAGUGGCGAAGGCGAGUCCCUGGACAAUACCUGACACUGAGGCACGAAAGCUAGGGGAGCAAACAGG